rnacentral:rRNA from 1 species
AGUGAACGCUGGCGGCGUGCUUAACACAUGCAAGUCGAACGAGAACGGGUUAUAGCUUGCUAUAAUUGUCAGCUAAGUGGCGCACGGGUGAGUAAUGUAUAGGUAAUAUGCCUCUUACUAAGGGAUAACAAAUGGAAACGUUUGCUAAUACCUUAUACUCCUUAUUAACAGAAGUUAAUAAGGGAAAGAUUUAUUGGUAAGAGAUUAGCCUGUAUUGUAUCAGUUAGUUGGUGGGGUAAUGGCUUACCAAGACUAUGACACAUAACUGGUUUGAGAGGAUGAUCGGUCACACUGGAACUGAGACACGGUCCAGACUCCUACGGGAGGCAGCAGUGGGGAAUAUUGCACAAUGGACGAAAGUCUGAUGCAGCAACGCCGCGUGGAGGAUGACACAUUUCGGUGCGUAAACUCCUUUUAUAUGAGAAGAUAAUGACGGUAUUAUAUGAAUAAGCACCGGCUGACUCCGUGCCAUCCGCCGCAGUAAAAC